rnacentral:rRNA from 1 species
UUGAAAGGGAAACGAUUGAAGUCAGUCGGACUCGUGAGGAACCACCCUUUUGUGGAGAUUUUGUGGAGUGGGAGGAGUUAAACGCCUUCAUGCCUGCAUAUUCGUGCACUUUGGGUGUAUUUACCCGUGUGGUAAGUUAACAUCAAUUUCGGUGGUCAUAAAAUGGCUGGAGGAAUGUAGCUUCGAUCUUGUAUUGAAGUGUUAUAGCCUUCGGUAGAUGUGAUAAUCGGGAUUGAGGAUUGCAACGGAUACCCCUCGGGGCUACCUGUCUGAUCUCUGAUCGUUGCUCUGGUGCCGAAAGCUUGCUUACGGUUAUCAAAGUCGAUGGUCAAUAGGUUAGAACGGGUUAAAUUCGUUAAGGAUGUUGACGUA